GCAGUCGAGCGGUAGCACAGAGAGCUUGCUCUCGGGUGACGAGCGGCGGACGGGUGAGUAAUGUCUGGGAAACUGCCUGAUGGAGGGGGAUAACUACUGGAAACGGUAGCUAAUACCGCAUAAUGUCGCAAGACCAAAGUGGGGGACCUUCGGGCCUCAUGCCAUCAGAUGUGCCCAGAUGGGAUUAGCUAGUAGGUGGGGUAACGGCUCACCUAGGCGACGAUCCCUAGCUGGUCUGAGAGGAUGACCAGCCACACUGGAACUGAGACACGGUCCAGACUCCUACGGGAGGCAGCAGUGGGGAAUAUUGCACAAUGGGCGCAAGCCUGAUGCAGCCAUGCCGCGUGUGUGAAGAAGGCCUUCGGGUUGUAAAGCACUUUCAGCGGGGAGGAAGGCGAUAAGGUUAAUAACCUUGUCGAUUGACGUUACCCGCAGAAGAAGCACCGGCUAACUCCGUGCCAGCAGCCGCGGUAAUACGGAGGGUGCAAGCGUUAAUCGGAAUUACUGGGCGUAAAGCGCACGCAGGCGGUCUGUCAAGUCGGAUGUGAAAUCCCCGGGCUCAACCUGGGAACUGCAUUCGAAACUGGCAGGCUAGAGUCUUGUAGAGGGGGGUAGAAUUCCAGGUGUAGCGGUGAAAUGCGUAGAGAUCUGGAGGAAUACCGGUGGCGAAGGCGGCCCCCUGGACAAAGACUGACGCUCAGGUGCGAAAGCGUGGGGAGCAAACAGGAUUAGAUACCCUGGUAGUCCACGCCGUAAACGAUGUCGAUUUGGAGGUUGUGCCCUUGAGGCGUGGCUUCCGGAGCUAACGCGUUAAAUCGACCGCCUGGGGAGUACGGCCGCAAGGUUAAAACUCAAAUGAAUUGACGGGGGCCCGCACAAGCGGUGGAGCAUGUGGUUUAAUUCGAUGCAACGCGAAGAACCUUACCUGGUCUUGACAUCCACAGAACUUUCCAGAGAUGGAUUGGUGCCUUCGGGAACUGUGAGACAGGUGCUGCAUGGCUGUCGUCAGCUCGUGUUGUGAAAUGUUGGGUUAAGUCCCGCAACGAGCGCAACCCUUAUCCUUUGUUGCCAGCGGUCCGGCCGGGAACUCAAAGGAGACUGCCAGUGAUAAACUGGAGGAAGGUGGGGAUGACGUCAAGUCAUCAUGGCCCUUACGACCAGGGCUACACACGUGCUACAAUGGCAUAUACAAAGAGAAGCGACCUCGCGAGAGCAAGCGGACCUCAUAAAGUAUGUCGUAGUCCGGAUUGGAGUCUGCAACUCGACUCCAUGAAGUCGGAAUCGCUAGUAAUCGUAGAUCAGAAUGCUACGGUGAAUACGUUCCCGGGCCUUGUACACACCGCCCGUCACACCAUGGGAGUGGGUUGCAAAAGAAGUAGGUAGCUUAACCUUCGGGAGGGCGCU
rnacentral:rRNA from 1 species